GAAAGGAGCGCAGCCACAGUUCCUCCCCUGAUGUAUACAUUCAAAUCAAUAUUUACAAACAAAAGAUGGUGUGUGUUUUGUGCAAAUGUGAGGUGCUGAGACUUUCGAAAGAUGUAACUAUCUAGGAAUAACAUGCGCAAUUGCUUUCUUCUUGCUAAAUUCAUCACUGGGAAGGGUAUGAUUGUGGAAGAAUAUUAUGACGUCCUUGCUCCAUCCUUAUCAUUCUUGACCUUUCAGGUCUAUAUGGUUUCAACACUACGGCUUCUCCUGCCAUCACUUGACAACCUAGCAGUUUGCAGCUCUGAAACCUGACCUGUGCUUGAUUAAGAUCCCCCACAGAUGAGAGACAGGCAUCAGCUGGACAGAAGAGUGUUACUCUUAUGUUCAGCAAGCAGCUAGAGAGUACCUCGGGUAUUGUACCAAACUCAGACUUGUGAACACGAGCAUCAAGUUCAUCCAUUAUAAUCUUGUCUCCCCUGUACGACAACAUGGUUCCUAGAAAUUUGAAUCUAUCUACUUGCACUGUAAUCUUGUUGUUUAUAAUACUUAUGUUAUUACUGGUUUUUUCCACAGAAAGCCAUGGCUUUUGUUUUUUGUAUUGAUAUUGACAUAUAUAUCUAGCAUAUUUGGUAUAGUCCUUGGCAGAUCUCUGCUGUCCAUCUUCACUAUUCAAAAUUAACGCCAGGUCAUCUGCAAAUAACAAGAGUCAUAAUGUAAUCUUUCUGGUUGAAGUUAUAUGCAUAGUUCUUCAGUUUCAUUCUCCAUUGCUGUAUAAUGUCAUCAGUGUAUAUACUAAAAAGCAGUGGAGAGAGGUUACAACUUUGUGGAAAUCCUAAAUUAAUAACCUUUGCUGUUUUUCCAUUAUUCCCAAUUCUUUGGAUUCUUGUAUUAGCUUAGAUCUUUCGAACUUUCUGUACAACAUGUAUUGGUAUACCUUUUGUUAUUAAAAUUUCCCACAAUAA